rnacentral:rRNA from 1 species
UACGGGGGGGGCAAGCGUUGUUCGGAAUUACUGGGCGUAAAGGGCUCGUAGGUGGCCAACUAAGUCAGACGUGAAAUCCCUCAGCUUAACUGGGGAACUGCGUCUGAUACUGGAUGGCUUGAGUUCGGGAGAGGGAUGCGGAAUUCCAGGUGUAGCGGUGAAAUGCGUAGAUAUCUGGAGGAACACCGGUGGCGAAGGCGGCAUCCUGGACCGACACUGACGCUGAGGAGCGAAAGCGUGGGGAGCGAACAGG